AAGUUGACGGGGACCCGCACAAGCGGUGGAUGAUGUGGAUUAAUUCGAUGCAACGCGAAGAACCUUACCUACCCUUGACAUGUCCGGAACUUGCCAGAGAUGGCUUGGUGCCCGAGAGGGAAUCGGAACACAGGUGCUGCAUGGCUGUCGUCAGCUCGUGUCGUGAGAUGUUGGGUUAAGUCCCGCAACGAGCGCAACCCUUAUCAUUAGUUGCUACGCAAGGGCACUCUAAUGAGACUGCCGGUGACAAACCGGAGGAAGGUGGGGAUGACGUCAAAUCCUCAUGGCCCUUAUGCCCAGGGCUACACACGUACUACAAUGGUCGGUACAAAGGGCUGCGACCCCGCGAGGGUGAGCCAAUCCCAAAAAGCCGACCUCAGUUCGGAUUGUAGUCUGCAACUCGACUACAUGAAGGUGGAAUCGCUAGUAAUCGCGAAUCAGCAUGUCGCGGUGAAUGCGUUCCCGGGCCUU
rnacentral:rRNA from 1 species